rnacentral:rRNA from 1 species
UAGGGAAUCUUCCACAAUGGACGCAAGUCUGAUGGAGCAACGCCGCGUGAGUGAAGAAGGUUUUCGGACCGUAAAGCUCUGUUGUUGGUGAAGAAGGAUAGAGGUAGUAACUGGCCUUUAUUUGACGGUAAUCAACCAGAAAGUCACGGCUAACUACGUGCCAGCAGCCGCGGUAAUACGUAGGUGGCAAGCGUUGUCCGGAUUUAUUGGGCGUAAAGCGAGCGCAGGCGGAAGAAUAAGUCUGAUGUGAAAGCCCUCGGCUUAACCGAGGAAUUGCAUCGGAAACUGUUUUUCUUGGGUGCAGAAGAGGAGAGUAGAACUCCAUGUGUAGCGGUGGAAUGCGUAGAUAUAUGGAAGAAUACCAGUGGCGAAGGCGGCUCUCUGGUCUGCAACUGACGCUGAGGCUCGAAAGCAUGGUAGCGAACAGGAUUAGAUACCCUGGUAGUCCAUGCCGUAAACGAUGAGUGCUAAGUGUUGGGAGGCUUCCGCCUCUCAGUGCUGCAGCUAACGCAUUAAGCACUCCGCCUGGGGGAGUACGACCGCAAGGUUGAAAC